rnacentral:lncRNA from 1 species
AAAAAUUGGGCCCAAUUUUGUAAUUAGAACGGGGCCUCCGAUAUAAUUGGGCCGGCCCUGAUUGUUUAAUAAACAGAAUUUUAGGUGAUUUGCAUUUGGGUGAUCCUUAGUGGAUAAUUUGUGGUUCGUGAAUGAAACUUAUUUUGGUAAUAUCCGUUGGGAUAACUUUGGUGUUUAUAAGUAUUAUUAUACAUAAUUUUGGUGUUUAUAAGUAUUAUUAUACAUAAUUUUGGUGAAUUAUGAUGUUUGUCCAUGAAAUGCAUAUUUCGU